GACGUAGGGGACGAGCGUUGUCCGGAUUUAUUGGGCGUAAAGAGCUCGUAGGCGGCUUGGCAAGUCGGGUGUGAAAACUCCAGGCUCAACCUGGAGAUGCCACUCGAGACUGCUAUGGCUAGAGUCCGGUAGGGGACCACGGAAUUCCUGGUGUAGCGGUGAAAUGCGCAGAUAUCAGGAGGAACACCGGUGGCGAAGGCGGUGGUCUGGGCCGGCACUGACGCUGAGGAGCGAAAGCGUGGGGAGCAAACAGG
rnacentral:rRNA from 1 species